rnacentral:lncRNA from 1 species
UAAAAUGUUUGUAGAUUUUUGUAGGGCUAUCAUUAUAUUGUGUUAGCACCCCUGACAGCACCAGCCCAUCAGCCCAACCAACUACCAAGCCCGACGAGGAGACGGCCCAAGGCCCAGCCAAGAGGAUCAAGAAACCCAACCCAAGAGUGAGUGGCAGCCAGUGGGUGAACGCAACACAGGAGGGAUAAAUGGAGAAGCUGGCAACCCUGAGGGGAUCGAAGAUCGAUCAAGGCACGGCACGGCACGGCGGCGGCUACCUACUACCUUAGAACCCUAGUUCCUUUUCCACUCAUCUCCAAUUUGGCACCUUGGUGCUUGUAAUCUUCAGAUCUUGUGAACCACCACCAUAUUCUGAGAGUAAUACUAGUGCCGUGCUAACACUUGGUACUCAGAGCCCAACGCCCAAUUUUGCUUCCGCCCUGGCGGCGUCCAUCAUCGAAACACGACAGCAGCGAGCGGAAAGGAUGCAGAAGGACCAGGAGCCCGUCACCAAGGGCGACCUCAAGGAGUUCUUCAAGGAGCUGCGGGCGGAGUGGAAGGAGGACAUCAAGUCUUCCGUCGCCGCCGAGUUCGCGUCAUGGAGACCUGGGAUUGACUCGCAGAUCGCUGAUCUGCAGGAGGAAGUCGACUUACUCAAGAAGCAGCGCGCGGGCGACAAGGGAAACGACGCAGAGGAGGCGUCGGCAACAGAUCACACCUAUCUGUUGGCGCGGAAGAACAAUUCGUCUUCGGACGGAUAUCCGGCGCGUCUUCCUCCUCGGGCCGAUGGCCUCGGCGCUGCAUCACCUCCACGGACGGCGGUCGACGCGGUGCUCGUCAGCCCGCCGGCCCCUCCGGCCAACGGUACGGUCAAUUCCCGGCUUCAGUUACCUGCUGUCACCAACACUCUGUCACCGGCUGGGGGUUUAGGGAAUUUAGCACCAUUUUUUGCCUCAAAUGCUCCCAGUCCACCUUCCAUGCCUUUUCCUGUGUUCGAUGGAGAGAACCCACUGUUGUGGAAAGAUCUCUGUGAACAAUACUUCGCCAUCUAUGGGAUCCCAGAGUCAGUUUGGGUGCAAAUGGCUACACUGAAUUUUUCUCCUACGACAGCAGUCUGGUUGCAAUCAGUUCAUAAGAAAGUGUUAUGCUUGGAUUGGGAGGGGCUAUGCAAUGUUUUAUCAACCCGCUUUGGGCGUGAUCGCCAUCAGCUCCUUAUUAGACAAUUUUUUGCCAUUAAACAGCAUAGUUCAGUGCAGGAUUACAUUGAUCGCUUUGAACAUUUGAUGAACCAGUUAUUAUCUUAUUCUGACGAGGUUCAUCCUUUCUACUUUUUGACACGGUUCAUCGGCGGCCUGAGGGCGGACUUGCGCGCUGCGAUCAUGGUGCAGCGGCCUCCAGACUUGGACACAGCCUGCGCCCUUGCAUUGGUCCAGGAGGAAGCGCAUGACGGGGGAAGGUCGGAGCAGUUUCGUCCCCCUGAACAAGUUUUCCGGCCAUCGCCUCGCCUACCUCCUCAGGCAGUGCCCCUCCACCAACCUCGUCCUCCUACAACACCAGUCGCAGCGAAUCGCCGCGGCCUCGAAGCGGCCCGUGCAGCACCGGUUGAACAACCAAGGCAAGCACCACAAGAAACAAACCCGCUGAACACUCUUUGUGCAUACAGAAGAGCCAGGGGAUUAUGCUUCAAGUGUGGCGAGCGUUGGGGGCGUGACCACACUUGUCCAACCACAAUCCAGAUGCAUGUGUUGGAGGAAUUAAUGGAUUUCAUGGGGAUUGAACAAAACACAGACGGAGAGACGAGUGUUAGUCCAGAUUCCACUGAAGAAACAGUUUAUGCAGUAACUUUGCAAGCAUUCAACGGGAAUGACUCUUCCAAACUACUGCAGUUCAGCGCAUUGAUCCAGGAUCAAGCUGUGGAAGUGUUGAUUGACUCGGGCAGCUCAGCGUCCUUCAUCAACUCACGUUGUGCCGAGGGCUUGCUGGGAUUACAACAAUUACCCAAAGCAGCUCGUGUGAAGGUUGCAAACGGAGCAGAGCUGCGGUGUGAGCAAGAAUUAACUGAAUGUCAGUGGACAGUACAAGGGCAUCAGUUUGCCACCUCUUUUAAAGUGUUGCCUUUGGGAGGUUUUGAUGUGAUUGUGGGAAUGGACUGGCUGGAAGCUUUGAAUCCACACAUUGAUUGGAUCAACAAAACGGUGACAAUUCCCUCGGCGUCUACCCCGAUUCAGUUACAAGGGCACAAAUUCUCUGAAAAUAAAUGCCCUCAAAUAUCUGCUGAAGAAUUGCAGCACAUGUGUCCAGGGCGAAGUGGAUCAUCUUGUGUACCUCUGUGCUACUCCUGAUCAGCACAAACAAGCACAACAGCUUGCUGAUACAUCAUUAGUGCCAGUUGAAAUUCAGCACAUUUUAGAAGAGUUUUCUGAUGUGUUUGCCACCCCAGGGCCUUCCACCACGCAGAGCUUGCGACCACUGGAUCCCACUCCUUCCAGGGGCUCAACCAAUCAAUAUCCGUCCGUAUCGGCACUCACCAGAUACCAAAAAUGAAAUUGAGCGUCAAGUCAAAGAGUUGCUAGCUUCGGGCAUCAUCCAACACUCCAAUAGUCCCUUUGCUUCUCCGGCAAUUCUGGUGCGCAAGAAAGACGGCCAAUGGCGUUUGUGCAUUGACUAUCGCAAGUUAAAUGCGCUGACCGUCACUCCAAAAUUCCCUAUUCCAGUCAUUGAUGAAUUACUCGAUGAACUAUCAGGAGCUAGCUGGUUUUCGAAGUUAGAUCUCUGUUCCGGUUACCAUCAAAUCAGAUUGGCAAAAGGAGAAGAAUUCAAGACUGCUUUUCAAACUCACUCUGGUCACUAUGAGUUCAAGGUCUUGCCAUUUGGAGUGGCAGGGGGCCCAGCAACCUUUCAAGGAGCUAUGAAUCACACACUGAAAACGGUAUCGCGUAUCUGCGUUCUGGUGUUUUUCGACGACAUUCUUGUCUUCUCCAAGACCUUUACUGACCAUGUCAAGCAUCUUCGAGAAGUCUUACAACUCUUGCGCAAUGACCAAUGGCAGAUCAAAGCUUCCAAAUGCUUUUUCGCUCAAUGAGAACUCUCCUAUCUGGGAUUUGUCAUCAGUGAACAAGGGGUUUCCACAGAACCUGAUAAAAUCAAGCAGGUGCAACAGUGGCCUCUUCCCAUCAAUGUCAAACAGCUAAGGCAAUUCUUGGGCCUUUCCGGUUACUACCGCAAAUUUGUUCGCCAUUAUGGUAUUAUAGCAAAGCCGUUGACACAUCUUUUGAAGAAAAACAUCCCUUUUGUGUGGACGAGUGAGUGCACAACAUCGUUUGAGACCUUGAAAACUGCAUUGGUGACAGCUCCUGUCCUUGCCCUGCCAGACUUCUCGAAGCAGUUUGUCCUUGAGACCGAUGCUAGUGAUCUUGGCGUUGGAGCUGUUUUGCAACAAGACGGUCAUCCCUUGGCAUUUCUGAGUAAGCCUCUCGGUCCUCGCAAUAAGGGGCUUUCUACAUAUGAGAAAGAAUUGUUGGCUAUUUUAUUAGCAGUUGAACAUUGGCGGCAGUACCUCCAGACAGCAGAGUUCAUCAUCAAAACUGACCAACGCAGCUUAGCUCAUUUGGAAGAUCAACGCUUGCACACCCCUUGGCAGCAGAAAGCUUUCACCAAUCUAUUGGGUCUUCACUAAAGAUUGUGCUACCGGAAAGGAGUCGACAAUGGGGCUGCUGAUGCUCUUUCUCGUCGGCCAAUCUCAGAAACUGAUGAGCUUUAUGCUAUCUCCCUCUGCCAACCCGAGUGGCUCGAGGAGGUGAAAGCUGGAUAUGCCCAGGAUGCACCUACCCUCAAAAUCAUUAAGGAGAUACAAGCUAACCCCCAAUCACACCAACAAUUUUCUUUGGAAGAUGGCCUCUUGCGUUACCAAGGGCGAAUUUGGAUUGGGCGCAAUAGCCAAAUGCAGCAACGCAUGAUGAUCGCGGGGCAUCAGUCGGCUAUUGGUGGCCACUCCGGGGCCCCUGCAACAUAUCAGCGCUUGAAAACAGUUUGUGCAUGGCCACGUAUGAAGCGGCUUGUCACUGAAUUUGUACAGGCCUGUGAGGUAUGCCAACAAGCCAAGCCAGAGCGCUGCAAGUACCCCGGACUGUUGGAACCCUUGCCAGUCCCUGCACGUGCCUGGCAAAUGGUGUCCAUGGACUUCAUCGAGGGAUUGCCUAAAUCUGGGCGAGCCAAUUGUAUUUUGGUGGUCGUCGACAAAUUCUCCAAGUACAGUCAUUUUCUGGCCUUGACACACCCAUUCUCUGCAUCUCAAGUGGCUACUGCUUAUGUUGAUCAAGUUUACAGAUUGCACGGCUUGCCUGACUCAAUUUUGUCGGACCGUGACCCCAUCUUCACUAGUAGAUUUUGGAAGGAGCUCUUUCGUCUGACCAACACAACACUGAGAAUGAGUACUCCUUACCAUCCUGCAACUGAUGGGCAAACCGAGCGUACCAAUCAGUGCCUGAAGACUUUCCUUCGGUGUUUUGUCCAUGCCUGCCCAAAGAAAUGGAGUUCUUGGCUGCCCCUCGCUGAAUAUUGGUUUAACACGAGUUACCACAGCGCUCAUGGAAAAAACCCCUUCUUUGUUCUCUAUGGUCACGAACCACGACACUGGGGGAUUGAGGCAGCUUCGGCUACUCCUGUCACCGAUCUGGAUGCCUGGCUCUCCGAGAGGGUGGAAAUGCAAGCUUUAAUCCGUCAGCACUUACUGCGGGCUCAAACAAGAAUGAAACAUCAAGCUGAUAAGAACCGAUCUGAACGCAGCUUUGACAUUGGUGACUCGGUUUAUAUCAAGCUUCAGCCGUAUGUUCAGAGUCCAGUAGCUCGUCGCGCCUGUCACAAACUGUCUUUCCGCUACUUCGGGCCCUUCUUGGUGCAAGACCGGAUUGGGCAGGUAGCAUACAGAGUGGGAUUGCCUGAACAUUCAAAGAUCCACCCCGUGUUCCACGUUUCGCAACUUCGCAAAGCCAUCAAGCCAGGUGUGUCCGUUUCCUCUGUUUUGCCUGCUGAUACUAACCAGUUUGCGAUUCCCGUGGAAGUGCUUGACAGUCGCAUGAAGACUAAAGCGAACAGAGUGGUGGCUCAAGUGUUGGUGCGCUGGUCCGGCGAUUCCAUCGAGCCAACUUGGGAAGACAGAGACGAGCUUCAUUCGCGUUUCCCGUGCGCAGCGGCUUGGGGACAAGCCGCAACUCAAGCAGGGGAGGGUGUUAGCACCCCUGACAGCACCAGCCCAUCAGCCCAACCAACUACCAAGCCCGACGAGGAGACGGCCCAAGGCCCAGCCAAGAGGAUCAAGAAACCCAACCCAAGAGUGAGUGGCAGCCAGUGGGUGAACGCAACACAGGAGGGAUAAAGGGAGAAGCUGACAACCCUGAGGGGAUCGAAGAUCGAUCAAGGCACGGCACGGCACGGCGGCGGCUACCUACUACCUUAGAACCCUAGUUCCUUUUCCACUCAUCUCCAAUUUGGCACCUUGGUGCUUGUAAUCUUCAGAUCUUGUGAACCACCACCAUAUUCUGAGAGUAAUACUAGUGCCGUGCUAACAUAUUGGACAUAAAAAUAUGAGACCUAUUGUACCACGUGAAGAAUAUAUUGCAGUGUAUUUCAUUUGGGUUACAGUUCACGAGUUAUACAUUAUUCUGCCCACGAAUCUUUGAGUACUCGAUUAAGGGUCCGGGAUCUGCCGGCACCUAGCGGAACCUCAAUUUUCCGCUUUCAUAAGCUACACAGAGCCGGAGGGUGAGGGGGCGGGGUAGGAACGCGCGCAGUCUGCUGGAGCGAAGGUCAGGGUGCCCUUGUCGAGAUCGUACCCAACGUGCAUGUUCUGCUGCGCGAUGUUCCCGAUGAUGGACACAGCAGAAAACUGGUCAGACACCGCCAAGCAUAAAGUCCCCUCCUGCACCUCCAAGAACGUGUUCUCCGCCUUCAGCGUGACCGCAGCGCCGCCGCCCAGCCCCAGCGUCACUUCAGGGAUCAUGGCCGCAACCUGCCCCUCCCGCACCCGGCUUACGUCGAAGCACAGCAGCAGGGACGACUCCUCUGGCGGCUGCACCGGAGGGAGCUUGAUCCGCCGGCUCAGCUCCUUCACCAGUGGGUCUACAAGCGCCGUCGGGAGGAAUGUGAGCGUCGUGCCGGAAUCGACGAGGACGGGGGACCGGUCCGGCGCCGCGAAGGUCGCGUUCCCGACCUUGAGGGACUGGAGCUCGACGAUGUAGUAUGCCUUCACUUUGGAUGGGAUCAGCGGCGUCGUCACCGCUCCCGGAUCCGUGACGGCGGCCCGGGGGCCGAAGUUGAGAGCGGAGGAGGCCUUGACGGAGUAGGGCACGAGGCAGUAGGAGAACCUCCGGCCCAGCGAGGUGUCUGCGCCUAGUUGGCUGACGAGGGAGAGGUCGCCGCCGCCGAGGCCGACGAUGCCGUCCCCGACGAACGAGCCGACGAAGGUCGUGGAGCAGCCGAAGUUGACUUUGGCCACGCGCGUCGUCCCAUCGCCGCGGGCGCCCUGGGCGUCGGCGAAGGUGAAGGUCUCUGUGGAGAGGAGGCCGCUCGUGUGGGAGCCGUCGCCGUAGGAGUAGAUGUACGUGCACUUGGAGUUGGCGUCGCAGGAAUGGGAUGCCUCGGGGAGCUCGCUGCACGCGCCGGAGUUACAGUCCAAGAGGCCGAACGUCGUCGAUUUGGAGGGGUCGAACUGGACGCCCGGCGGCUGCGCGUCCGCGUCACGGGCAGCCGCCAGACCACGACCGUCGCCUCCGUAGCUGCAAUUGAACCAGGUGAGGUCGCUGCCGGUGUCGGCGAUGGCGACCAUACGAGUGGGCGGCGUGCCUAUGUUCACGGCCAUCAGGUACUCGCUCGUCCUGGACGUGACCUCGGACACGACGCCGUCAGCUGAGGGCGCGUCGGCGCGGACGUAGGGACGCGAGAGCGCCGCGGCGCGGGCUGCGGACCGCCGCGCGGCCUCCAGCACGCGGGCGGGCGCGGUGAGCGUCGGGUCGUGGAACGGCGACCUGACCGAGUCACGGUGGAUGAACUCCACGCUAAACCCAUCGCCGCCGCUGCCGGCGUACGCCGUGCACGCGCACAGCUGCGCCGUCAGGACGACGGCGACGAGCAGGAGAGCGCGGGAUCCCAUCGUCCCAUGCAUCGUGUCCCAGCUUAACUCCCAAGGAUUAGCUCUACUGGGGUUGCUUUGCUGCUGCUGCCGCCAUGCAGAGGGCGGUAUUUAUAGGCUAAUUUGCGUAAGAUUAUAAUGGUGCGCAAAUGGUUAAUGGGGGCUGGGGAGACGAAUGUGGUAAGUCGGGAUAUGAUAUGUAGUCAUGUACUGUUUUUUUUUCCCGAUGGAAGUAGUCAUGUACCGUUGAGUGCCAUUUAGCAACUAGCUAGUACAUUAUCGUAAUCAGUUUUACUAAAGCACAUGUAGAUGUGACAUAAGUAUUGUACAUAUAAGAGUCUCAUGUCAUGAAUUUUACGCGGAGAUUUAUCUGAGUAUUUUCUUUUUUAUUUAUCUUUAUCUUUUUAUGCUUCAUUAAGUCACUAAGAUGUGGAAUAACUAAUGGUAAUUAUUGUGUCAACAGUAAUCACUUUUAUGCUUCAUUAAGUCAUCUGAGUAAUUAAGUCACCUAGACAGACCCGAUGGUAAUUACGUGUUGCGCACUACACAUGGAAUUAAGGGUUGAUAGUGCUGUUUGCGCUGCUCUUUUUGCGUAUGAAAUUGAAGACUUUUGCAGGUAGCCAUUAAUUCGUGCCAAAAGAGGACGAUGAGUAGAGUAGCAAUUUCUAAUCUUGUAGCUAAUUUGUAGAAGGAGGACUGUCUCCGGAAGAUGGGCCACUCAAGUGGCAAGAAGAGGCAGUGUUUGAUUGCUUGGUGCCACCGGCCACCUGGAAAAUUUGUAGCAAUCGUUCUCCCGUUUAAGCUUCCUUUUAUUCUAUUCCACAUCUCGCUCUUGAUGUCGGGCUCAUUCAGUGUUUCCAUUCCGGACUUUUCUCCGGCAAAUAUGUAAUCCGUUACAUUUUCACUUUAGCUACGUGUUAGUCAGCAGAAUUUCAAAUUUGGGCCAGUCGCUUUUCAAUGAAGGAAGGAGAAGGACGGGCCUUGCCGGAGAGAAGGAGGGGGCUCGCCGUCAUCUCGGGUGUAUCUGGUGCACCGGGAUAAUUGGUGCUACCGGUGCACCGGUCUAACGUCGCACAUUAAAAAAUUUCUAAAAAAUCCGAAAAAGAUUCAAUGCAUUAACACAACAUCAAUGUAUAUUGUGACAGAAAUUCAAAUCAAAAUUUGAAACAUUGCUCGAGAUACAAAAAUGAUAAAUUUGACACUUAAUAGUAAAUAACACAAGUUGGCUUCAAUCUUGGCCUAUUAGCACAUUGAUGUCAAAAUUGUUAUUUUUGUAUUUUCGGCAAUGUUUCAAAUUUUGAUUUGAAUUUUUUUGACAAUAUACAUUGAUGUUGUGUCAAUGCACUAUUUUUCUAUGUAUUUUUUUGAACAUUUUGGAAUGUGCAACAGGGCACGGUGCACCAGAUAAGUUCCCCCCACUGUCAUCACUCCAUUAUCUAUCUUAGGGUUUUGGGCGUUGGUGGGGCGGUGAGGCUGGCGCAGGAGCGUCGCCGGCUGUGGGCGGUGGUGGCUGGCGGUCCGGCCAGUGGUCCGUGACGGCAGGAAGAAGAAAUCGUCGGGAGGAAGAAGAUGCACUGUGAUAUGUUUUCAGAAAACUGUUGUAAGUGGAAGAUGACUACUGACAUAUAUCAAGGGCAGAGAACCAUCGACUGACCCAAAUUGGGAUUUCAGUCGACUAGCAUUUAGCCCGUCCCUUACACUUUUUUUAGCUGUAAGAGUGGUCAUUCUUGAUUAAUUUUUAGAGUUACAAUUGAUACAUCCCAAGGCUCGCUGAGCCAAAUAAGAUUACCACUAUCGAGUGAUAAAAUGCUCCGAACUAAAUUAUGGGCUUCUGCAUUUGAAGCUCAGUUUUCAUGGACGUAGAUCACCUCCCAGAGUUCAUUCUUUCUUUCUUGAAUCUCCCUGGUCAUCGAGCUAUAAUGGCCAAGGUCGCCUUUGUUGAGAGCAUCACAACCGAGCUAGAGAUUACUAUUCCAAUGCAUGGUGUGAGGUCUUCACUAGUGAGAGUAGUCCCGUGCCGGAUCCUGCCUCCUGUUGGUUACAUGAAAUUCAUUGUGGACGGCGGAACAAGGUUGUCCAAACCUUCUAGAUGGUCUUGUUCAUGGUAGUCAACGUGGACCCCAAGAAUUCGAUCCUAUAAGUAGGGGCCGCCGAAUACUUUUCAUUUGCCUCAAAUUUCCAAAAGAUGACAUCAUCAACAUCCAAUUGAAGUUGAAACUGCUCCAGACGAACCCAAGGAUCAUUCCACGCAACCCAAGGCCAUAUUAGUGUGAGAGCUCUCGCAAAUUUUCCUAAGUGGAGGAUCCCAAGCCCACCGAUGUGGGUGUGGCGGCAGACAGACUCCCACUUGACCUUGCAUUUUGUGCCUGAAGUUUUAUCUUUUUUCUGGAAAGAGGGGAACACCCUCAGCUCUGCAUUAAGUCAUGCACACAUCCAUUUAUUAAAAAUACAAGGUUCAACAUCCGAGUUCAACAAAUAAAUGCCACAAAUGGCCGCCCCAAGGGCAAUAAAAAGACAUAGGAAAAUUAGACUCAUACUUGAAGUUUAUCCUUAGUUGACCAAAGGAAAGCACGCUCAAUCUUGUUGUUGUUGUGUAACACACCAGGGGGCGGUGAGGGGGGUGAUGUGGUAUAAACCACUUGUGAAGUAAGGACCAAUUUAACCAAAGUCGGUCGACUGACCGUGGUGAUUUUCUUCCUUGCCAGGGAGGAAGCUUCCUAGAAUUCUAGAGUCUUCACGAAGAAAUCAACGCUGCCCUACGACAUUCUCAAGCUUAUCCAAGAUGCGGUCAAACUUUGGAUCACCGCAGCGGCUAGGCACCUGAGUAUCAUCAUGCCACGAGAGUAGUAGUAGUUGUUGUUUUCUUUUCAAACGGGCUAUGUCGUGGACCUGAUAUGUUGCACUCUAAAACUCUUCUCCUUAAUUAAUGAAUGAGGCAAGCCUUUUGCCUUUGUUUAAAAAAAAGUGAACGACGAUGUGACGAAGGUGCAAGCGGAGAGAGUGUCAGUGGUUGUUUGCAGAAAUGUUGAAGGGGCGUUUCAGGGCCCAUCAACUCGUGUGUUUGAUAAUCUGACUCGUCCGACAACGUUAUAGGCAUAGUCGUGUUGUGAAGCUUUGGCACUUGCAAAUGAUCUUUAGCCACAGAAAAAUUGCUACCAUUACAUAGAUGAUGGAUCAUGAACAUCAUGUGUAACUAGGCAAUACUUAGGCGAUGGUUUUUUAUAGCUAGUAGUUUACAUAAUGGGCUGGCCCAUGUAGGGAUGCGAUAUUGAACUCCCUUUUAGCCGGUUUUGUAAACAUUUUAGAAUGUUCUGCGCGAGGUUUGUUCCUUUUCUUUUAGUUCUUAUUUUGACUCUGAUUUCGAUUUUUUUUCUUUGCUUUCUUUUUCCAUUCAUGAAUAUCUAUAAAUUUUUGCUUUCUUUAAAAAAAUCAAAUUUUUCUAAUUUAUGAAUAUUUUUAAAUUCAUGUUUUUUUUUCAAAUUCAUGGACUUUGUAAAAUUCACAAAUUUCUUUCAAAACCAAUGUAUUUUUUUAUUAUGCCAUUUUAUGAAUUAGCAGAAAGAGGCGGGUGUUUUUCCUAAGCUAGUUUUUAGGCAAUUUUCCUAAGGUAGUUGACUAGCCAUAGACUAGCAAAAAAAAAUCAACGAACAUGCGGAGCCCAAAUCUGUCGCAUUUUGNNNNNNNNNNNNNNNNNNNNNNNNNNNNNNNNNNNNNNNNNNNNNNNNNNNNNNNNNNNNNNNNNNNNNNNNNNNNNNNNNNNNNNNNNNNNNNNNNNNNNNNNNNNNNNNNNNNNNNNNNNNNNNNNNNNNNNNNNNNNNNNNNNNNNNNNNNNNNNNNNNNNNNNNNNNNNNNNNNNNNNNNNNNNNNNNNNNNNNNNNNNNNNNNNNNNNNNNNNNNNNNNNNNNNNNNNNNNNNNNNNNNNNNNNNNNNNNNNNNNNNNNNNNNNNNNNNNNNNNNNNNNNUCUUUUCGGUUUUGGGGAGCAUUCUUUUGGGUGUUUUUUUCUGUAUUUUUAAUAAAUUAUUAGUAAAGGUAAAAAAUGAGUGUAUUUGUUUGGGAGAGAGAAGGGCAACGCAUGCAUGUAACCGUAUUGUACCAUGAUUGAAAAGAAUAAUGCUAUCGACAAAGGUAUGAUUGGUAAUAGAUGGAUGAAGGGGCUCACCACAAUUGAAUUCAGGGAGAGGGAGAUGAUUAGUUUGGAAAGUUAGUAAAAUGUUUGUAGAUUUUUGUAGGUCUAGCAUUAUAUUGGACUCAAAAACAUGUGACCUAUUGUAUCAUCUAUCACGUUAAGAGUGCGUUGAAGUGUAUUUCACUUGAGUAACAGCUCACAAGUUGUACAUUAUUCUGGGAGUAAUUACCGGUUCAGGUAUGUACCGGCGUAGCAUCCACCAUUCACAUGCUUUAUGAUUUGUGCAUAAGUGGGGCUCAUCUAUAUGUAUAACCCGGUAUAUAUGAUAGCAGCCCAUCUCUCGUAUUUUCUGCUAAAAGGUACUAGUAGCUCCCACAGGAGUGCAUGCAUAGCAGAAUAAAAUAUGCUGACUCUCUUCUGUCCCUCACUAUCACAAAACAAACAUACUUUUACUCAAUUUAUGCUAGUUUAAAUCAAUCAAUUUUUUUAAACCAUAAUUUUGUUUUUUGAAAUUAUAUAUAUAUAUUUGAACUCCUAGCACCAAGACCUUUAAAAUGAGACCCCUCUUGAAUACAUUUCAAACAUAUUUACAUUUGAACUUUUGAAAUGAGUGAAAUCAGUUUUCUGAAAGGAGUGAAAAAGGUUUUUCGGAUUGAGUGAAACCAGUUUUCUGGAAUGACUGAAAUCUAUUUUGCAUACAUAUGAAACACUUUUUUUUCUGAAAUAAGUGAAAUAGGAGUUUUGAAUUCAGUGAGACCAUUUUUUAAACAAAUGAAAUCUGUUUUGCAUACAUAUGAUUUUUUUUAAAAUAAGUGAAAUAGUUUUUUUAAUUGACUAAAACCAAUUUUAUGAAUAAAUUGACAUCGUUUUUUACACGAGUGAAAUCUAAUUUUUGAAACGAGCGAAACCUGUUUUAUGAGCGAGCGAAUUUGUUUUGAAUUGAUAAUUUUUUGAAUUGAGUGAAAUCAAUUUUUUGAAAUACUUGAAAUGAGUUAUUUGUAACUAGAUAAUUUUUUGAAUUGAGUGAAGUUAGUUUUAUGAAAUAAUUUUGAAUGGGCCUAAGUCCAUCUUUAGAAAAUGAGUGAAAUAUGUUUUCUCAAAUCAGUGGAAAAUGUGUUUUAAAAUUAGUGAAAUCAAUGUUUACAAAUGAGUGAAAUUAGUUCUUUGUAAAUAAGUGAAAUAAUGUUUUGAAAUUAGCGAAACAGUCAAAAAACACUUGUAUGAAAUAGCGAAACAAUCUUAUCUUUUAUGAAAGUGAUUCAAAAGAUAAUUGAAAUAUAUAAAAUAAAAAGUAGUUCAAAUGUAGCCAAGAUUGAUCUUGUUCUAAAGGUUUUGUGAACAGGAUUUGAUUUUUUUUUCAAAAAUGGACAUUUCGUUUGAAAUAUAAGAAUCGUUCAAAAUAGGGACGAAAUAAAAUGCAUGUCAUCUGUGUGGGGAGAGAGGUUUGUUAGGAAGGUUACCUAAUAAGAGGAGAAACGUAACUUUAGCCGUAGCAUUUUCGUUAUUCUGGGCACCAAUUUUGAGCACUCGAUUAAGGGUCCGGUAUCAACUCAAAAAAAAAAAAGAUUAAGGGUCCGGUAGCAUUUUCCGCUUUCAUAAGCUACACAGAGCCGGAGGGCGAGGGGGCGGGGUACGAACUCGCGCAGUCUGCUGGGGCGAAGGUCACGGUGCCCUUGUCGAGGUCAUAGCCGACGUGCAUGUUCUGCUGGGCGAUGUUCCCGAUGAUCGACGCCGGA